rnacentral:rRNA from 2 species
UUGCCUACGGGGGGCUGCAGUGGGGAAUAUUGGACAAUGGGCGCAAGCCUGAUCCAGCCAUGCCGCGUGAGUGAUGAAGGCCUUAGGGUUGUAAAGCUCUUUCACCCGGGACGAUAAUGACGGUACCGGGAGAAGAAGCCCCGGCUAACUUCGUGCCAGCAGCCGCGGUAAUACGAAGGGGGCUAGCGUUGUUCGGAAUCACUGGGCGUAAAGCGUACGUAGGCGGACCGUUAAGUCGGAGGUGAAAUCCUGUGGCUCAACCCCAGAACUGCCUUCGAUACUGGCGGUCUUGAGUCCGGAAGAGGUGAGUGGAACUGCCAGUGUAGAGGUGAAAUUCGUAGAUAUUGGCAAGAACACCAGUGGCGAAGGCGGCUCACUGGUCCGGUACUGACGCUGAGGUACGAAAGCGUGGGGAGCAAACAGGAUUAGAUACCCUUGUAGUCUU